UUAACUGGGGCAGCGACUGGUGUCCAAAGGGAAACUCAUCGAGAACAGAAAUCUCAAGUAGAAUAAAAAGGUAAAUGUUCCCUUGGUUGUGAUAAUCAGCGUGAAUACAAACCAUGAAAGUGUAGCCUAUCGAUCCUUUAUCCAGGAAUUUCAGGCAUCGCUUUAACCUGAAAACCUGGAG
rnacentral:ncRNA from 1 species